rnacentral:rRNA from 1 species
GAUGAACGCUGGCGGCGUGCUUAACACAUGCAAGUCGAGCGAGAAGUUUUGAAAAGAUUCUUCGGAUGAAAUUUAAAAUGGAAAGCGGCGGACGGGUGAGUAACGCGUAGGCAACCUGCCCCAUACAAAGGGAUAGCAUUUGGAAACGAAUAUUAAUACCUUAUGAAACUUAACUAGUGCAUGCUAGGUAGGUCAAAGAUUUAUCGGUAUGGGAUGGGCCUGCGUCUGAUUAGCUAGUUGGUGAGGUAACGGCUCACCAAGGCGACGAUCAGUAGCCGACCUGAGAGGGUGAACGGCCACAUUGGAACUGAGACACGGUUCAAACUCCUACGGGAGGCAGCAGUGGGGAAUAUUGUACAAUGGGGGAAACCCUGAUGCAGCAACGCCGCGUGAACGAUGAAGGCCUUUGGGUCGUAAAGUUCUGUUCUAGGUGAUGAAAACUGACAGUAACCUAGGAGAAAGCCCCGGCUAACUCCGUG